UACGUAGGGUGCGAGCGUUGUCCGGAAUUAUUGGGCGUAAAGAGCUUGUAGGCGGUUUGUCGCGUCUGCUGUGAAAUUUCGGGGCUCAACCCCGAGCCUGCAGUGGAUACGGGCAGACUAGAGGUAGGUAGGGGAGAAUGGAAUUCCCGGUGUAGCGGUGAAAUGCGCAGAUAUCGGGAGGAACACCGGUGGCGAAGGCGGUUCUCUGGGCCUUACCUGACGCUGAGGAGCGAAAGCGUGGGGAGCGAACAGG
rnacentral:rRNA from 1 species